rnacentral:rRNA from 1 species
GUCUAUGGCCAUACCACCCUGAACGUGCCCAAUCUCGUGUGAUCUUGGAAGCUAAGCAGGGUCAGGCCUGGUUAGUACUUGGAUGGGAGAUUUCCUUUAUUUAAAAUUAAAGAUUUAUGUAUU